CGUGGGUUUUCGAAACUUGAGAUGCAGCCAUGAAAGUAUUAUUUGAUUUGAUGAAAUUUAGGAGGUCAAGCUAAUCCCGGGGUCGCUUUCGUUAAGACAGUGAGAAUAAGGAGUGGUUGGACAACAAGAUAAAGAAAUCCAGAAAAUAGGAGGUUGGGUGAUGUCAGCCGCCAGCCGUUCAUUUCCCAGCAAAUCUUCGGGAUGACGUUGUUCGCCCAGAACGUUUAUCAAAUCGGAUUGCGACCACCGCUGACAUUUAACAUCCAGAGGUCGGAGGAACAUAACAAGAUGAAAUCUGGAUGUUCUGGACGAGGCGUUAAUUCCCCACAGAAACUGCUGUGAAAACCAUGAAAAUGUGGUCGUAAGUCACCGUGCAAAUGUUUUC